ACUUAGAUGAUGAGUCCCAAAUAGGACGAAAUGCGCAUCCUGGAU
rnacentral:hammerhead_ribozyme from 1 species